GACAGAGGGUGCAAACGUUGUUCGGAAUUACUGGGCGUAAAGCGCGUGUAGGCUGCUCAGAAAGUCGGAUGUGAAAGCCCUGGGCUUAACCUAGGAAGUGCAUUCGAAACUUCUGAGCUUGAGUUCUGGAGAGGAAGGCGGAAUUCUCGGUGUAGAGGUGAAAUGCGCAGAUAUCGGGAAGAACACCCGUGGCGAAGGCGGCUCUCUGGGACGGUACUGACGCUGAGACGCGAAAGCGUGGGGAGCGAACAGG
rnacentral:rRNA from 1 species